rnacentral:rRNA from 1 species
CUUGGUCAUUUAGAGGAAGUAAAAGUCGUAACAAGGUUUCCGUAGGUGAACCUGCGGAAGGAUCAUUAUCGAAUUAUAAGUGAGGGCUGUAGCUGGCCUCCCUUUCGAGGCAUGUGCACACCUGAGCUCUUAAAUCCACAACACACCUGUGAACCCACCGUAGGCCUUCGGGCUUACGUAUCAUAUACUCUGAAUGUGUCAUAGAAUGUUCAUGUUGCCUUAAAACGCAAUCAAAUACAACUUUCAACAACGGAUCUCUUGGCUCUCGCAUCGAUGAAGAACGCAGCGAAAUGCGAUAAGUAAUGUGAAUUGCAGAUUUUCAGUGAAUCAUCGAAUCUUUGAACGCACCUUGCGCUCCUUGGUAUUCCGAGGAGCAUGCCUGUUUGAGUGUCAUUAAAUCCUCAACCCCACCGAUUUGCUUCGGGGGGAUUGGACUUGGAGCGUGCUGGCGAAGGUCGGCUCCUCUUUAAAUGCAUCAGCGGAGAAGAAAGCUCGUCCCAGUGUGAUAAUCCUGUUGCGCUGUGGUGGGGUGAAAAUUCCGCUUCCAACCGUCCUUCGGGACAAGACAUCUCAAUUUGACCUCAAAUCAGGUAGGACUACCCGCUGAACUUAAGCAUAUCAAUAAGCGGAGGAAAAGAAACUAACAAGGAUUCCCCUAGUAACUGCGAGUGAAGCGGGAAAAGCUCAAAUUUAAAAUCUGGCGGUCGCUCUGGCCGUCCGAGUUGUAAUCUGGAGAAGUGUUUUCCGCGUCGGACCGUGUACAAGUCUUCUGGAACGGAGCGUCAUAGAGGGUGAGAAUCCCGUCUCUGACACGGACUGCCGAUGCUUUAUGUGAUACGCUCUCGAAGAGUCGAGUUGUUUGGGAGUGCAGCUCAAAAUGGGUGGUAAAUUCCAUCUAAAGCUAAAUAUUGGCGAGAGACCGAUAGCGAACAAGUACCGUGAGGGAAAGAUGAAAAGCACUUUGGAAAGAGAGUUAAACAGUACGUGAAAUUGUUGAAAGGGAAACGUUUGAAGUCAGUCGCGUUGGCCGGGACUCAACCUUGCUAUCUUGCUCGGUGCACUUCUCGGUUGACGGGUCAGCAUCAAUUUUGACCGUCGGAUAAAGGCUGAGGGAACGUGGCAUCCUCCGGGGUGUGUUAUAGCCCUCGGUUCGCAUACGAUGAUUGGGAUUGAGGAACUCAGCACGCCUUUAUGGUCGGGGUAUUUAUACCCACGUUAACGUGCUUAGGAUGCUGGCAUAAUGGCUUUAAGCGACCCGUCUUGAAACACGGACC